rnacentral:tRNA from 1 species
GCCUGGGUGGCUCAGUCGGAAGAGCUUGUGACUCUUGAUCUCAAGGUUGUGAGUUCAAGCCCCACAUUGGGUG